AAAGCUUGACAGACAAUCGCUGGCAGCAAAGCUUGCUUUGUUACGAGAGGAAAGUCCGGGCUCCUUAAGGCAGGAUGCUGGAUAACGUCCAGUCAACGCGAGUUGAAGGAAAGUGCCACAGAAAUGGACCGCCGAUGGCCGCUGAAGAAAUUCAUUGUGCACAGGCAAGGGUGGAACCGUGGUGUAAGAGACCACGAGGGAAUUCGGUGACUUCUUCCCUGGUAAACCCCAUCUGGAGCAAGACCUAAGAGGAACGCAGUAAGCUUCGAGCUUACAACUUUAGCCUGAGGUGCGUUCGGGUUGGUCGCUUGAGCUGCUUAGCAAUAAAUGGCCUAGAUAGAUGAUUGUCACUUCAAUGGUGGGAGGGGAAACCCGUUUGCACCACCGGAAGUACAGAACCCGGCUUACGGCAAGCUUUCCGU
rnacentral:RNase_P_RNA from 1 species